rnacentral:rRNA from 1 species
CCUACGGGAGGCAGCAGUGAGGAAUAUUGGUCAAUGGGCGUAAGCCUGAACCAGCCAAGUCGCGUGAGGGAUGAAGGUUCUAUGGAUCGUAAACCUCUUUUAUAAGGGAAUAAAGUGCGGGACGUGUCCCGUUUUGUAUGUACCUUAUGAAUAAGGAUCGGCUAACUCCGUGCCAGCAGCCGCGGUAAUACGGAGGGUCCGAGCGUUAUCCGGAUUUAUUGGGUUUAAAGGGUGCGUAGGCGGCCUUUUAAGUCAGCGGUGAAAGUUUGUGGCUCAACCAUGGAAGUGCCGUUGAAACUGGGAGGCUUGAGUAUGUUUGAGGCAGGCGGAAGGCGUGGUGUAGCGGUGAAAUGCUUAGAUAUCACGCAGAACCCCGAUUGCGAAGGCAGCUUGCCAAGCCAUGACUGACGCUGAUGCACGAAAGCGUGGGGAUCAAACAGGAUUAGAUACCCCUGUAGUC